AUACGUAGGGGACGAGCGUUGUCCGGAAUUACUGGGCGUAAAGGGCGCGCAGGCGGAUAUUUAAGUCAGCUGUAAAAGGCAUGAGCUCAACUCAUGUAUGCGGUUGAAACUGGGUAUCUAGAGUGCUGGAGAGGUAGGCGGAAUACCCGGUGUAGCGGUGAAAUGCGUAGAUAUCGGGAAGAACACCAGUGGCGAAGGCGGCUUACUGGCCAGAAACUGACUCUGAUGCGCGAAAGCCAGGGGAGCGAACGGGAUUAGAUACCCCGGUAGUCCUGGCCGUAAACGAUGAAUGCUAGGUGUGGGUGUCGAGAGGCAUCCGUGCCGGAGUUAACGCGAUAAGCAUUCCGCCUGGGGAGUACGAUCGCAAGAUUGAAACUCAAAUGAAUUGACGGGG
rnacentral:rRNA from 1 species